rnacentral:rRNA from 1 species
UCCUACGGGACGCAGCAGUGGGGAAUAUUGCACAAUGGGGGAAACCCUGAUGCAGCGACGCCGCGUGAGUGGAGAAGUAUCUCGGUACGUAAAGCUCUAUCAGCAGGGAAGAAAAAAAGUCUUUGGCUUUGGACGGUACCUGACUAAGAAGCCCCGGCUAACUACGUGCCAGCAGCCGCGGUAAUACGUAGGGGGCAAGCGUUAUCCGGAUUUACUGGGUGUAAAGGGAGCGCAGGCGGCUUGGCAAGUCUGAUGUGAAAGGCUGGGGCUCAACCCCAGGACUGCAUUGGAAACUGUUAGGCUGG